UACGGAGGGUGCGAGCGUUGUCCGGAAUUAUUGGGCGUAAAGAGCGUGUAGGCGGCCCGAUUAGUCCGCUGUGAAAGUCCAGGGCUCAACCCUGGAAUGCCGGUGGAUACUGUCGGGCUAGAGUCCGGAAGGGGCGAGUGGAAUUCCUGGUGUAGCGGUGAAAUGCGCAGAUAUCAGGAGGAACACCAAUGGCGAAGGCAGCUCGCUGGGACGUGACUGACGCUGAGACGCGAAAGCGUGGGGAGCAAACAGG
rnacentral:rRNA from 1 species